rnacentral:rRNA from 1 species
GACGAACCGUGCGAACGUUGUUCGGAAUCACUGGGCUUAAAGGGCGCGUAGGCGGGUUCGUAAGUCUGUGGUGAAAGCCCCCAGCUUAACUGGGGAAGUGCCAUGGAUACUGCGAGUCUUGAGGAGGGUAGGGGCAUCUGGAACACUGGGUGGAGCGGUGAAAUGCGUUGAUAUCCAGUGGAACUCCGGUGGCGAAGGCGAGGUGCUGGACCCUUUCUGACGCUGAUGCGCGAAAGCCAGGGGAGCAAACGGG